CCCUUCGGGGGGACGACGGUGGAAUGAGCGGCGGACGGGUGAGUAACACGUAAAGAACCUGCCCAUAGGUCUGGGAUAACCACGAGAAAUCGGGGCUAAUACCGGAUGUGUCAUCGGACCGCAUGGUCCGCUGAUGAAAGGCGCUCCGGCGUCGCCCAUGGAUGGCUUUGCGGUGCAUUAGCUAGUUGGUGGGGUAACGGCCCACCAAGGCGACGAUGCAUAGCCGACCUGAGAGGGUGAUCGGCCACACUGGGACUGAGACACGGCCCAGACUCCUACGGGAGGCAGCAGUAGGGAAUCUUCCACAAUGGACGAAAGUCUGAUGGAGCAACGCCGCGUGAACGAUGAAGGCUUUCGGGUCGUAAAGUUCU
rnacentral:rRNA from 1 species